AAUAUGCCCAAACGGCCGCGGAAGAAUAUUUCAAUUUCAGGUGAUUAAGUCGAUAAAAAUCAAUAAAUACUAAAGUAACCACAUAUAGUCAUUGUUGGUAACCCGUUGUAUAUAAGUGGAAUAAACCCCUCCGGGCUGUCCCGGUUAUUAGAAAAUAAUGUAGGCUACUUACUUCGGUGGUAGUAUGGGGCUGCAGAAGAAAUAAUACGACAGAUAGACCGACGACGAUAUCGCUUUUUCAUAGGUCAGUGGACUAAUUUUCCUAAUCUCCGCGGGACUUUAGACCGCGGCUAUUCAUAUCAAAAUGAGGCCACGUUACAGCAACUAAUUUUGGCUAUCUUAGCUCACACAAAUUGAACAAGCCGUAUUCAAAUAUAAGAUAAAUAUAAAACCUGUCACGUCCCUGCAGUUUCUCAUGUUUUCAGUUCUGCCUCAUGUG